CCUACGGGGGGCUGCAGUGGGGAAUCUUGGACAAUGGGCGCAAGCCUGAUCCAGCCAUGCCGCGUGAGUGAAGAAGGCCUUAGGGUUGUAAAACUCUUUCGCCGGAGAAGAUAAUGACGGUAUCCGGAGAAGAAGCACCGGCUAACUUCGUGCCAGCAGCCGCGGUAAUACGAAGGGGGCUAGCGUUGUUCGGAAUUACUGGGCGUAAAGCGCACGUAGGCGGGUUUGUACGUAGGGGGAGAAAUCCCAGGGCUCAACCCUGGAACUGCAUUCUAGACUGCAAGCCUUGAGGUCAGGAGAGGCGAGUGGAAUACCGAGUGUAGAGGUGAAAUUCGUAGAUAUUCGGUGGAACACCAGUGGCGAAGGCGACUCGCUGGACUGAUACUGACGCUGAGGUGCGAAAGCGUGGGGAGCAAACAGGAUUAGAUACCCCAGUAGUC
rnacentral:rRNA from 1 species